rnacentral:rRNA from 1 species
AGGGAAAGAUGCAAAGAACUUUGAAAAGAGAGUUAAAGAGUACCUGAAAUUGCUGAAAGGGAAGCGAAGGAAACCAGUGUCGGCUCAGUCAUAUUUCCCUGUCCGCUUGCGGUUUGGGCGCUGUGUCUGGCCUGUGUCGUCCUUGGUUGGGUCUGCUGGAAGAGCGCAGUGAGAGUUGAUCUCUGUUGCUAGCAGCGGGUCUGACUGAGGAGGACGAAAUGGUUUUCUUUACCCCGUCUUGUAACACGGACCAAGG